rnacentral:rRNA from 1 species
CGGAUCACGCCGCGUGAGGGAUGAAGGCCUCUGGGCUGUAAACCUCUUUUAUCAAGGAAGAAGAUCUGACGGUACUUGAUGAAUAAGCCACGGCUAAUUCCGUGCCAGCAGCCGCGGUAAUACGGGAGUGGCAAGCGUUAUCCGGAAUUAUUGGGCGUAAAGCGUCCGCAGGCGGUUUUGUAAGUCUGUCGUUAAAGCGUGGAGCUUAACUCCAUUUAGGCGGUGGAAACUACAAGACUAGAGUGUGGUAGGGGCAGAGGGAAUUCCCGGUGUAGCGGUGAAAUGCGUAGAUAUCGGGAAGAACACCAGUGGCGAAGGCGCUCUGCUGGGCCAUAACUGACGCUCAUGGACGAAAGCCAGGGGAGCGAAAGGGAUUAGAUACCCCUGUAGUCCUGGCCGUAAACGAUGAACACUAGGUGUCGGGGGAAUCGACCCCCUCGGUGUCGUAGCCAACGCGUUAAGUGUUCCGCCUGGGGAGUACGCACGCAAGUGUGAAACUCAAAGGAAUUGACGGGGGCCCGCACAAGCGGUGGAGUAUGUGGUUUAAUUCGAUGCAACGCGAAGAACCUUACCAGGGUUUGAUAUCCUGCGAAUCUCUUGGAAACGAGAGAGUGCCUUCGGGAGCGCAGUGACAGGUGGUGCAUGGCUGUCGUCAGCUCGUGUCGCGAGAUGUUGGGUU